GGAGACCUUACGGAACUAGGGGUGCUUCCAUCUGGAAGAAUCUGGAGACAGGUGCUGCAUGGCUGUCGUCAGCUCGUGUCGUGAGAUGUUGGGUUAAGUCCCGCAACGAGCGCAACCCUUGCCUUUAGUUGCCAGCAGUUCGGCUGGGCACUCUAAAGGGACUGCCGGUGUUAAACCGGAGGAAGGUGGGGAUGACGUCAAGUCCUCAUGGCCUUUAUGACCAGGGCUACACACGUACUACAAUGGCCGAUACAAAGGGCAGCGACACUGCGAGGUGAAGCCAAUCCCGUAAAAUCGGUCUCAGUCCGGAUUGGAGUCUGCAACUCGACUCCAUGAAGUUGGAAUCGCUAGUAAUCGUGGAUCAGCAUGCCACGGUGAAUACGUUCCCGGGCCUU
rnacentral:rRNA from 1 species